rnacentral:rRNA from 1 species
CUACGGGAUGCACCAGUGGGGAAUAUUGGACAAUGGGGGAAACCCUGAUCCAGCAAUGCCGCGUGUGUGAAGAAGGCCUGCGGGUUGUAAAGCACUUUCGGUUGGGAGGACUGCUUCUAGCACUAAUAUUGUUGGAAGUUGACGUUACCUUCGGAGGAAGCACCGGCUAACUCCGUGCCAGCAGCCGCGGUAAUACGGAGGGUGCAUGCGUUAAUCGGAAUUACUGGGCGUAAAGCGCGCGUAGGCGGCUAGAUCAGUCGGGUGUGAAAGCCCCGGGCUUAACCUGGGAACUGCAUCCGAUACUGUCUAGCUUGAGUACAGGAGAGGAGAGUGGAAUUCCACAUGUAGCGGUGAAAUGCGUAGAUAUGUGGAGGAACACCAAUGGCGAAGGCAGCUCUCUGGCCUGAUACUGACGCUGAGGUGCGAAAGCGUGGGGAGCAAACAGGAUUAGAUACCCGUGUAGUC